ACUCCUACGGGAGGCAAGCAGUGGGAAUAUUGCACAAUGGGGGAAACCCUGAUGCAGCCAUGCCGCGUGUGUGAAGAAGGCCUUCGGGUUGUAAAGCACUUUCAGUAGGGAGGAAGGUAGUGUAGUUAACACCUGCAUUAUUUGACGUUACCUACAGAAGAAGCACCGGCUAACUCCGUGCCAAGCAGCCGCGGUAAUAACGGAGGGUGCGAGCGUUAAUCGGAAUUACUGGGCGUAAAGCGCAUGCAGGCGGCCUGUUAAGUCAGAUGUGAAAGCCCGGGG
rnacentral:rRNA from 1 species